rnacentral:rRNA from 1 species
GCACCACAACGGGUGGAGCCUGCGGUUUAAUUGGACUCAACGCCGGAAAGCUCACCGGAGACGACAGCGGGAUGAGGGCCAGGCUGAUGACCUUGCUAGACUAGCUGAGAGGAGGUGCAUGGCCGCCGUCAGUUCGUACCGUGAGGCGUCCUGUUAAGUCAGGCAACGAUCGAGACCCGCAUCCACUGUUGCUACUAGCUUUGAGCUGGGCACACUGUGGAGACCGCCACUGAUAAAGUGGAGGAAGGAGCGGGCCACGGCAGGUCAGUAUGCCCCGAAUCUCCCGGGCCACACGCGAGCUGCAAUGGCAGGUACAAUGAGUUCCAACCUCGAAAGGGGAAGGCAAUCUCGAAAGCCUGCCGUAGUUGGGAUCGAGGGUUGUAACCCAUCCUCGUGAACAUGGAAUCCCUAGUAAUCGCGUGUCAUUAGCGCGCGGUGAAUACGUCCCUGCUCCUUGCACACACCGCCGUCGUUCCAUCCGAGCGACUCUUGGGUGAGAUGCCGUCUUUCAUGGCGGUAUCGAAUCUAAGUUUCGUAAGGAGGGAA